GGCGAAAGGGAGGGAGAAACGCGCCGGGGAGUAGAAGAGUAUUCAGUCUUCUUUCCCUUUCCCUACAAGUACCCUAACCCUGAAGGAGAGGGGGAGAAGGAAGGAGGAGAAAGGGUCGGGGAAUAGGGCACCCACCUGAGCGGAUCAUGUGGCCUGAGUUGACGGGCUCCCCAGUGCGAGGAUGCAGCCAAGUAGUUGAGCGGGUCAGGUCGCUAAGGAGGGAGAAGCGGCAAACAUGCACCUGUUAGAGCCUGUUGUGAGGGAAGUCGGGAAGGAGAGAGAAGAGCGGAGAGAAAGAGCGAAUGAAGCGGCAAAACACCCCCCUCCCCACCCCCGUCUCCUUUUCCAGCUUGCCGCCUUACUCGAUGAAGAAGACCCGGCCAUCUCUACAGACGCCAUAGGUCCAGUGCUCAGUGUCUAUGUAUGGAUGUGAAAGUUGGACAGUGAAAAAAGCAGAUAAGAGAAAAAUCAACUCCUUUGAAAUGUGGUGUUGGAGGAGAGCUUUAUGAAUACCAUGGACUGCAAAAAAAGACAAAGAAUUGGGUGUUAGAACAAAUUAAACCAGAACUAUCACUAGAAGCUAAAAUGAUGAAACUGAGGUUAUCAUACUUCGGACACAUAAUGAGAAGACAUGAUUCACUUGAAAAGACAACAAUACAGUACUGGGGAAAACAGAAGGAAGUAGAAAAAGAGGAAGGCCAAACAAGAGAUGUAUUCCAUAAAGAAAGCUACAGACCUGAACUUACAAGAUAUGAACAGGGUGGUUCAUGACAGAUGCGGUUAGAGGUUGCUGAUUCAUAGGGUCACCAUAAAUCUUAAUCGACUUGAAGGCACAUAACAACAACAAAUUAUUUUAGAAGUCCAGGCAACACUUUCUGUCCCACAAAAGCCUGCUGUUCCUUGUUCAGUACUUGAUAGGUACUAGCCCAUCUUAAACAUCACAGCUCAGGAUUGGAGCAGAUGAAUAAAUAGAAAUGAAAAGAGUAUACAUGAACUUGUAGAAAAUACCUUUCCCAGCCACUAAGUCAUACUUCAAAGGCUUUUUCAGUAAACCAGUGCAACAGAGGUUCAGAUGUUAACUGUUUGUUAUGGAGAGUCUAAAUUAGGGGCUCCCAAACUGUGGUCCAUGGACCACCAGUGGUCCACAAGCUUCAUUCAGAUGGUUUGUGGCAUGUCUGCAUUAAAUAUAAUGAUUUUUAUUGCUUCUUUUAUUUCUUAUAUGGCAUUUUAUUGUAUUACAGUUUAAAUUAUAUGGAAUACAAAUUAUAAUACAAUAAAAUACAAUAUACAAAAUAAAAGAAGCAAAAUACAAUUUAAAAAAUCAUAUAGCAUCUAACACAGCAUAUUACAAUUGCUACAACAGUCAGAAAAAUCAUUAAGUGAACCACAAAGACCAGCAGUGCUUUUUGAGUGGACUAUGGUGAAAAAAAGUUUGGAACUGUUGGUCUAGAAUGAUGUUGGAAGAAUAUCGCAUUUUCACAGCACACAUCAUACACAUAAUAAACCUUUACAAACUUGAGCAAGGCUUCUUUUCCAGCCAAUUUGUGAACUUUUUCAUUAAUACUUUAAGAUCUGGAUAUGUUUUUCUCUUCCUACAGCAAUAAACACAGACUUCUAAUUUUUUAAAAAAGAUGUGAAUCAGAUAAAGCCACCACCAACUCAAUGGACUGCUUUCAAGUCAAUUCCAACUUAUGGCGACCCUACAAAUAGGGUUUUCAUGGUAAGCAGUAUUCAGAGGGGGUUUACCAUUGCCUUCCUCUGAGGAUGAGAGGCAGUGACUGGCCCAAGGUCACCCAGUGAGCUUCAUGGCUGUGUGGGGAUUCGAACCCUGGUCUCCCAGGUGGUAGUCCAACACCUUAAAAUGAAACCCUCCUGCUCUAUCCAUCUAAUCAUGGUCAGCAUUCUAACUCUGCAUAGGCAAGAUCUAAUAGGAGACUUUUCAGUGUUGGCUCAGUCAGACCUUGUGGGAUGCUUUGUCACCUUCAACACAUCUUUUAAAAAUUAAGCCAUCCUCAACAGAACUUCCACACCAUACAUUUAAAGCACUCUUUUAUCACUUUAACAGUCAUGGCUUUCCCCCAAGGAAUCCUGGGAAUUAUAGCUUGUUAAGGGUGCUGCCCCUCACACCAGUUACCUCUCACAACUUCUUGCCCACCCCACCAACACUACCACCAUAUCCAGCAAUCAUGAGAUAAAUUUGAGGCUCAAUUUAUCUAGUAAUUAAUAUUUCAGGCUAUUGUAA